UACCUGCAGCUCGAGUGGUAACCGCUAUUAUUGGGCCUAAAGCGUCCGUAGCCGGUUUGGUAAAUAUCUGGGUAAAUCGUGAGGCUUAACUUCACGAAUUUCGGAUAGACUGCCAGACUUGGGAUCGGGGGAGGUCAGAGGUACUCCAGGGGUAGCGGUGAAAUGUUGUAAUCCUUGGAGGACCACCGGUAGCGAAGGCGUCUGACUAGAACGAGUCCGACGGUGAGGGACGAAGCCCUGGGGGCGCAAACCGGAUUAGAUACCCGGGUAGUCCAGGGUGUAAACGAUGUGGGCUUUGUAUUGGAGGUCCCACGUGGGCGUCCAGUGCAGAAGAGAAGUUGUUAAGCCCACCGCCUGGGAAGUACGGUCGCAAGGCUGAAACUUAAAGGAAUUGGCGGGGAGCACAGCAACGGGAGGAGCGUGCGGUUU
rnacentral:rRNA from 1 species